GCUGCAGAGCAUCCUCCUACCUAGAGAUGAAGGGCACAGGGAGACGGAGCACCAGGACUGCCGCCAGUGGGAACGCGCUGCACCCGCAGAGCACAGGCGAGCCCACACUCACUCAGAGACCCCAGGACGCUGGAGUCAAAGCCUCUGGGAAGUUGGAGCCGUUCUGGAAGCUGGAAGCUGCUCUUCUGCCCGAUGCUGGUUUGAGAGGCAGUCAGGAGGGCUCCACCCCUGUCAACAGGACCAAAGUCCCAGAGUCGAGAGCUCGGCUGGGCCACUUCCUGAGGGAGAUGCAGCUCCACGAGGCCUGGAGGCUGAGGAGAGUCAGGAGGAGACGCUGGAGAGGAGGGCCCAGCGUGGCCCAGCCUGCCCUGCGGCUCCUGGGGCUGCAGGUGCCAGUCGCACCUUCAGGGCUGCGGUUGGGUGUCCUCCACGGUGCUUGCGAGGGGGACCUUGAGGUUUCUUCUGGCCUCGGCUUCCUCUCACAACAACAAGGGUUGGUUCCUCGAAGGGCAAGGUCCUUCCUUCCUCGUCAGACCCUGAGCUUCUCCAGCUGCGUGACACUGAUGUCAUGGAGGAGCAGAGCUGGAGCAGAUCACUGGGGAAUCCGUGUCAUCAUACAGACAUCUCUGCGUCAUGUUCCAGCACAGAUAGAGCAUUUGCCUUCAACAGGGAGAAGAAGGACACCUCUUCGGGUCCAGAAGAUGUAGGGAAACCUGAGGUUCAAGAAUUUGAGUGUAUUGAUCAGAUGACCCUCCCUGAAGCCUCAGGGUCUCCCUUCUUCCCAACCAGGUCCUGCCAUUGGGCAGCAGCCUCCCUUGGGUUGAGGGCUGCUGUCUUUAGGACUGAGUCUUGAUCCACGGCUCUUUUUGGUUCUCUGGCUGCAGGAGAGGAGAGUGUCUAUAUGGCACCAAGGAAGCCCUCUUUUUGUCACUUUUUUUAAAAAUUGGAGAUCUUUUCAUUGCCUUGUUCUUGGCAAGAGCCGCCUGAUUCUGUAAUGCAGAUGGUUGCUGCUCUUCCCAGCCACUCCGAUGCCCUGGAUGCGGCACCCAGCAGUGUGUUUCUUUCAUUGGGCUUCCACCCUGGCUCAGUGCUACUACUGCCUGGCAGGGCUGUGGUGCCACCAGUGAUGUGCCACUUGGCAUUCUGUGCUCAACCCCACCAUACAGGCUGCUCCUGGAACACUCCUGGCCCCACCAUCUUCUGCUGGGCUCCCCUGGACACAAACUCUGAAGCAGAGGUUUGUGUGCAAGAGGUUAUUGGGAGUGUUCUCGGAAGAAAAGUCCUGUGAGCAUGGGAGGGAAGAAGGAUCGGGCAGAGGAGUAUCUUGACCACUGUGCAGGUCUGCGGGGCCUCGGCUGACCCUCCGAGAUGCUCAGCAGCUGAGGCUGCUGGUCAGUUGUCUUGAUGGAGGCAGAGCCUUGGUCUUGGGGACUGGGGGCAUCUGGAUGGCGCACGACAGCACACCCUACAGAAGCCUCUGAGGUCUCAGAGUUAGAGGCAGCAACGGUGGAGUUUGAGCCAAGGAAAAGCUGCUGUCCUAACUUGCAUGUUAAACUCGCAGUAAACACCAUGUAUGGAGGUCUUGACGGGAUGAAGUCCAGCAGGUGACGAGGACCUGGAAGGAGACUCAGGUAGCCACGGUGAAGAAUGCUUAGUAACCCUUUUCACGUGUACCUAAGCCUUUUUUUUAGGAAAUGAGGAUAAAACAGUGAAAAACCAGGCCUUGUCUUCAGGAAGCUUGUGUUCUGGUGUGUGCAGGGUGUGUGUGGGCUAC
ensembl:lncRNA